GUGUCAGCAGCCGCGGUAAUACAGAGGGUGCAAGCGUUAAUCGGAAUUACUGGGCGUAAAGCGCGCGUAGGUGGUUCGUUAAGUUGGAUGUGAAAUCCCCGGGCUUAACCUGGGAACUGCAUGUGAUACUGGUGGUGCUAGAAUAUGUGAGAGGGAAGUAGAAUUCCAGGUGUAGCGGUGAAAUGCGUAGAGAUCUGGAGGAAUACCGAUGGCGAAGGCAGCUUCCUGGCAUAAUAUUGACACUGAGAUUCGAAAGCGUGGGUAGCAAACAGGAUUAGAAACCCGUGUAGUCC
rnacentral:rRNA from 1 species